rnacentral:rRNA from 1 species
GGCCUACACAUGCAAGUCGAACGGUAACAGGAAUCAGCUUGCUGCUUCGCUGACGAGUGGCGGACGGGUGAGUAAUGUCUGGGAAACUGCCUGAUGGAGGGGGAUAACUACUGGAAACGGUAGCUAAUACCGCAUAACGUCGCAAGACCAAAGAGGGGGACCUUCGGGCCUCUUGCCAUCGGAUGUGCCCAGAUGGGAUUAGCUAGUAGGUGGGGUAACGGCUCACCUAGGCGACGAUCCCUAGCUGGUCUGAGAGGAUGACCAGCCACACUGGAACUGAGACACGGUCCAGACUCCUACGGGAGGCAGCAGUGGGGAAUAUUGCACAAUGGGCGCAAGCCUGAUGCAGCCAUGCCGCGUGUAUGAAGAAGGCCUUCG